ACACUUGAAUGAAUAGACUUUGAAUCAAAACCUUUUACUCCUUGACACCUUUCUAUCGUGAAUCAUUUUUAAUACGUCUUAAGUCGUUUUACUAUUUCUACUUUGUCCUUAAUCUUCCCUCAUUGUUUUCACGUCUUUAUCCACUUCUUUUGAACGCCGCCCACACUACUAAAUUUGAAGGCAGCAACUUGAAGGGGAAGGAGAAGCUGCCACUGCUCGGAACCCGGAGUAUGCAGCACAAUAAAACGCCCGGCAGCAGCAGUAGGAGGAGGAGGGGAGGAGGAGGAGGAGCAGCAGCAGCACAUCAAGUCAUCGGCAGGAACUCCCAAAUUAAAUGAAUUUAAAUAAAUGGUGUAAUCAAAUG